ACUCCAGUGACGCAGUGGUUAGCGUAUCGUUCUUAUAAUGCGAAAGUCGUGGGUUCGACACCCACCUGGAGUA
rnacentral:tRNA from 3 species